rnacentral:ncRNA from 1 species
UGUUUUGGUCCUAGACAUAAUAUUAUUUAUAUACAGCAUUACACAUGCCAGUAUCCGCACCCCAGUGCCUAAAUUCACAAACUAUAGAUCAGUCAUGAAGUAGGUAUCAGGUACACCCAUCAGGUAGCCAAUAACACCUAGCAAUGCCACACCCCCACGGAACUCAGCAGUGAUAAACAUUAAGCCAUGAGCUAAAGCUCGACUUAGCCAAAAUGAUUUAGAGCCGGUAAACCUCGUGCCAGCCACCGCGGUUAUACGAGCGGGCUCAAAAUAAUAUUACCCGGCGUAAAGAGUGAUCAGAGAUUAAUACCUAAGAUUAAGAAUUAUAGUGUAGUUUUAAAAAACACACACCUAUAAGAAUCCCACUUUAAUCUAUUCAUAUAGCCUCUACUCACGAAAGCUGGAGCACAAACUAGGAUUAGAUACCCUACUAUGUCCAGCCGUUAAUCUAAGCAAACACCUACUAAUUUGCCCGCCAGAAAAUUACAAGCGAAAGCACAAAAUUCAAAGGACUUGACGGUGUUCCAUAUCAACCUAGAGGAGCCUGUCCUAUAAUCGAUAACCCACGUUAAACCUCACCCAUUCUUGCCAAGUCAGCCUAUAUACCGCCGUCGCCAGCCCAUCUAAUGAUAGAAAAAAAAUGGACAAGAUUGUUUAACCACAAAAACGUCAGGUCAAGGUGUAGCUAACGAAUGGGCUGAGAUGGGCUACAUUUUUAAAAAUUAAAAACUACCGCAAACAACAUGAAAUAUAAGUUCUUAAGGUGGAUUUAGAAGUAAAUCUGUGCAAGAUAUGCCACAUUGAAAUCCGUUCUGGAAC